CAUUAUGCUAACAGAGUAAUAUAUGUAAGCAUGCUGAAAAUCGUGGAUUGGUGAGGGCAAAACUGCUACACCCAGAAAAGGAAGGAAAGGCAAAAAUAAAAUCCAUGAGAACCCGAAGCGUGCUAAGGCAGAAGAUGGGACAGAAACAGCAACUCCAAGGGAACACAGAGCAGAAGCAGCUCAGUAAAUGGAUCCUCAGCAUGAUGGACAAACAAUGCACAAACAGACUGGUCUUCCUUGUUCUCAGUACUUGUAACUCAAAGUGUGGCACUACCUCCAGUGAGAAAGGUGGAAAAGAUGCUGGUUGGAAGCUGUUGAAGCCCUUCUCAUGUGCUCAUGUUCCUUCUGGCUGCAGUUUCUACUGUGUGACCUAAAUACCAUUGCAAAUUAUGAAAAUUAGAGGCAACUUUCACCUGGUUUAUUACAUACAGGUAAUAACAGAAUGGCAAAAAUCAGCUAAUUUCAGAGUUAUUUAUUAAAGAAUAGAUUGGUUGUUUCCCCUUUCAUUGGUUUUUUGCCAGCUUUACUCACAGAAUUGCAGACUGAUCUGAGGCAAGUUUAUCCCUCAGUAUCACUGAGAGCUGCCUGAAUUUCAGUGCUUAUACUUUGCUGAGGUAAGCACAUGAAAGGCAAUGAUUUUUUAGUACAAGGUACAUUUACUAAAUCUCCUUUCUGCAAACACUUUAGUUUCUAAUCGAAUUCAUGAUGCAAUAGAAUGCGUGACACAAUUUAGUGGAAAAGCACCAUUUUUUAUGCCUCAUACUGCUGGUAAUUAGAAACUAAUCUUUUGUCUGAGUUUUUCUCAGCUCACUUAGCUGGGGAAACAGAACUGCAUGGCAAAAAUGAAGCAGGAGCAGGGUGGCAGAGAAGUGUGGAAGAAUCCACAUUCUGGGAAUGUGAAACCUUUGUGACCUUAAGCUGAUUCUUUUUUGGAUGCAGGUGGGAUCUGUUUUCUUUAACCAGCCUUGCAAGUGUUCCUAUGUAAGUUUGUGAUCCUGCAUUUAGCACCAGAUCCACACCACACCCAAUUAAUUAGAUCUUCAAUAAAGCACAACUGUGUUACUUAGGAAAGUUCA
rnacentral:lncRNA from 1 species